AGACACUCAAAUAUUUCCUCUGGCCUUGCGAUAAGCUAGCCGUUCAGAGGUAUGUAGAAGGUGUCCAGGAUCUUAUAGGUUAAAUGGACAUAAAGUUUGAUUGCAUUGUGGUGUUUUGGGAGUAUGAUAACUUACAGAGCAUGUGUGAGCAGGAUGAACUUGGGCACAGAGGCAGCACUGACAAAGUCUGCUUGAGCAUACAAAUGUAGGUAAUAAAAAAAGGGCACUAGAGCUGUGUUUGGAAUGUGAUUAGGAGUUUGCUAGGCAGAUAGAAUCAGCAGGAAAACUCUAGGCUGAUGGGAGUACAUGUACAAAGGAAUAGAAGGAAGAAAUUUGACUUAUUUGGGUAAUUGGAGAUGGCUGGCUGAGGGUUUGAGGCGAGGGGUGAAUGAGUUGAGGUUAGAAAGAUGGUAGUGAGAUCACAGAAGCCCUGUCUGUAGUGUUGGGUUUACAUUUUGCCUCAUAGGUAACAGGGAUUGUUUGAAAGAUUUUAAUCAGAAGAGUAAUUGAUCAGACUUUCAUUUUACACAGUUACUCUGGGGUCAGUGUAUAGAAUGGCUUGGAGAGAGAAGCUGGCAGUUUGGUGAGGAAUCCAAGUCAGAGUUAAUCAAUUAAGACCUGUUUUUAGGCAGUGGCAGUAGAGGAGGAUCUGACUUGAAAGCUAAAAUUAGUAGGAUUUUAAUGUGACCUCUUAAGAUGUGGUGGCUAUUGCCCUUUUCCUAAAUUGAGAAAGUACAGAUUAGCUAGAGAAAAGAUGGAUUUGAAUCACUUAUGUACUUAGUUAAUAGAAAUAUGACUAAAAGGAGCAGUUAGAAUUUGGGACUGAUGUACCUUUUUAAUAGAUGAAGGGGAGGCAGAGAAAGGGCAUUUUUGGGAAAAUAGAUAACUUUCUAGAAAGGUAAAGGGCCCUUAGGAGAAUAAUUCUGUGACAUUGUUUGGAUGUGGUCUGUUUAGGUGUCUUCUAAGAAGAUUAGAGUUGUUCCUGGGGAGGGGAUUAAUGGCAAUUGAGUUCUUUCCAUUUCUUUUGGGAGAUUCUCCUUUUAGGCUGAUAGGGAUUUUAGGAAUGCAAAUGCCUUUAGCUUGAAAUAAUUUUUAUACCACAGUAGUUGCUUCUUGAUCCUUUCUUGGUGAAGGAGAGGAGAAAUUACUGUGAUUCUGACUUGAGUGAUAGUGGUGCUAUUGAUAGUGAAGUACGCAAAGAAGAGCAUGUUUCAGAAGUGUAAAAAUUUUAUUUGUAUAAUCGAACUUGGAGCACCUGUGGAACAUACAGGUAGAGAUACUAGGAAGUAAUUAGAUAUAGAUCUGGGAGCUCAAGAGAGAGCUCAAAGAAGCCGAGGGUAUGGAUGAAGUAUACCUAGGAGAGUAGGAAGAGUGGGAAAAGAAAAAGGUUCUAGAGAUGAACCAGAGGGGGUUGGAAAAUGAGGGAGAUGGGGAAAAAUAAAAAAGAAAUUGAGCUUAUAAAGGAGACUGUAGGGAGAAAUAGCUGAGGACAAAGAGAACUGGGAGAGUUAUAGAAACCAAGGAGGGCGGGGGGGACAGGGUAGCAGGGAGAAUAAGCAGUAGGGAUCUACAAGGUCAGGUGCAGAGUAGAAUUAUAUAUGUUCAGAAAAUAUUUUUUGAUUCAGUGUAUAAUAAUGGUACAGUUUUGAGGAGGAAAUGGAGGAUUGUUUAUUUAAAAGAAUUUGGAACAGUUGGCUUACCAUUUUCCUUAUGACAAAAUACAUCUAAAAAUUAAACGUAAAAAAUUGGAAGUGAUAAAAAACUAGAAGAAAAUAUGGGCCAGUAUGUAGGUGUCAGACUAGAAUUCUGUACCCAGCAAAAAUAUUCUUUACCAGUGAGAACAAAAUUAUUACUUGUUUUGAUCAACAAAAUUUAUUAACUGAUAGAAUAACAAAGAAUCAGAGGGGUUAGAAAAUCUUAGUAACAUAAUUAGUAAACGUGACCUAAUUGAGAUGUCAUUUAGUAGUAGACUAGACAAAAUGGAAGAGAGAGUAUUUUGAAAAAAAGAAAUAUUCAAAACAAAAUAUGGGAUAUAACAAAACAUGAAAUAAAUACUUUGUGCCUAAUACAAUAGACUAUUCAUUCUUCUCAUAUGCACAGAGAACAUUUACCAAAAUUGCUGAUCCAUAAAGCAAGUUUUAACAAAUUUCAAGACUAAAAUUAGACUGUCAAACUUAGUAUAACGAUAGGUUUGAUAUUUGGAAAAUUGAUCAGUAUAAAACUUGCAGAAAAUAACGUGAUGAUGUCAAUAGAUGCAAUAUUGCCACUGGUAAAAUUCAACACUCAUUAAACAUGAAAUAGCAUAUUAUUAUUAAAAGGUAACUUCCUUAAUCUGGUGAAGGUUAGACUCAGAAAAAAGGUUAGAUCUCUGGCAUGCAUCAUGUUUAAUGGUGAAAAUGUUGAAUGUUUUCCUUUAGAGGCUGGGGAAAAAAUAAGUUAUUUUUAAUAUCACCAUUCCUGUUUAUUAAAGGACAUUCUACCUAAUUAAAUUAUAAGACAAGAAAAAUGGAGUAUGGAAGUCAAAAUAGAAUAAAUCUGAUUUUAUAGAUGACACAAUAGUGUAUGCACAAAGACUAAAAAUAUAUUCUUACAACUUAUUUUAAAUACUCACCAGACUGCAAAACUCAAAGUAACUUCAGACCCAUUUUUAUAUGCCAGUGACAAAUAGGAAAUGUAAUAAAAUAUAUCAGUUGUAAUAACAUAAAAAUCCAUAUUUUUCAGAAAAAGUUUAUGUCUAAAGCAAUAAACAUUAUUGAGAAAUGUUAAAGAACUACAGAAGGGGAUAUACCAUAUUCAUGGAUUAGAAGACCCUAUUGUAAAAUGUUGAUAUGCCUAAAAUUCAUCUAUGUACUCAGUAUAUCAAUCAAAAUGCCAGCAGAUUGUGUGUGUGUGUGUGUGUGGGGGGUGUGUAUGUGUGUGUGUGUGGAAAUUAACAAAUGGAUACUAAAAUGUACACGAAAAUGUAAGCAUCCAGGAAUGGCUGAAAAAAUUUUUGAAGGACAACAAAGUGAGCAGAUUUAUGUUUCAGGGUAGCAAGACUUAUUAUACAGCUAUAGUAAUACCAUACUCUUGUAUGGUUCUAGUAAAAGACUAGACAGACACACCAAUUGAACACAGUAGUCCAAAAAGAGACCUACAUUUGUAGGGCACUUGAUGUGUAUUACUUAAGAGGCCCUGCAGUGUAGUCCACAAAGGAUAGUCUCUGCAGUAAACGGUUUGUGGGGGCUGGGGACACAGCUCAGUGGUAGAACAGUUGCCUAGUAUGUGCAAAGCCCUGGGUUUGAUCCUCAUCACCAUCCAUCAAUCAAUAAAUAAAAUUAAAUAGAAAAAGAAAAAACGUAUUUGGUUAAUUACAUACAUAUGGGACAAACAAAAAUGUCACAAUGAUACUUUUUUUUUGUGAUGCUGGGGACUGAACCUAGGGCCUUCCUCAUACUAGGCAAGCAUACUACCAUUGCAUUGAGCCACAUCCCCAGCCUAAAUAAAACAAAAAUAUGAGACACCUACCUAUGCCUGACAGAUUUUUUUCCCCAAAUUCAUAUCAGUCUGGAUCCAGUUAGGAGGAAGAAACCAGUAAAUUGAAAGAAAAGUUUAAUAUGAAGAUACUAGUUAGAACAGGGAAUUUAAGUUAUAAGGGAUUGGCUAAUAAAAGGCAACAAGAACUCUAUAGAAAGCAAGGAUAGCAGAUACAUGGAGCAGCUGCUGCCUCUAGUGCUGAGAUAGAGGGCCCCCUUCCCUCAGGACUGAGACAAGACUAUACCCAGAAGACAUGGUUCUGGUUUAUUGUGUGGCAGACAAGUCCCUGGAGUGUCACACUGGUGGUGCUUGAUGGGAAUCUACUUCCGGAUUUGGCAGAAGCCACUCUGCUGGGCUCCAGAGAAAAAUGCUUCAUGGGGAGGUAUCCACUGUGGUACCUUGCUAAAACCACCCAGGUAGGAUGUUGGGGAGCUGCUGGGCAUUUCUGGCUGCAGUGUGCUACGGUCUCCAGAGGCCAGAACCACUGUGCAUACUACAGAAGCUGGAUGGUGGAGUAGUCACUCGGGGUGCAAGAGCUGGUUGCUGUUGAUCACUUACUGCAGAAAAACCUGGAAGGCUGUACAUAUCAAGAUGCCAAGAUGGUGCACACGUUUGUUUCUUUUUCUUAUUGGCAAAUAGGGUUAUGAUGAUUUCUCCUCCCUUCCAUAUUAAAUUCAGCAUUUAUUCAAUAAAAGUCAUUGCGUGUUUCUUCUGAGCUAUACUGGAUGCAUGGGAAUGGACAAAAUAGACAUUGCACUUACCUUUGCAGAGUUUGUGGUGUGGUCGAAUAGCUAUUCAGUUGAGCUUCUUCUUUGUGCUAGGUAUUGUUCUGGUCCUUGGGGAUGUAUAUCUUGGUGAUCAAGACACUCUUGCCUUCAAAAGGAAAUAGCUAUCGAGCAGAUAAUCAUAUGAAUAGCUGCAUCUUAGGGAAUCAUCUAAAGGGACAGAAAGGGAAAAUUCUGAAUUGUCAGUUCAGAGGUGAGAGAUCAGGAUGGGGCUGGAAGACCUUGCAGUGGGAAAGAGCUUGGCUCAUUUGAAGAAGUGAGACUCAGGGAAAUUUGAAAGUAGGGUGAUGAAGACAGUGUCAGGAGAAAAGGCCCCAGUAGGGGCCAACUUGCUCUCAGCCUUAGGCCACCUUGGGAACCAGGGUAGGCCAAUGAAGGUACCCCCUGUAGAGUUCUACAGUCAGAGCCCAAUGGAUUCUUUUUAGGUGUUUUUAUUACCAUCUUAUGGUGUGCUGAGUGGUCAGUUGAUUGGAGGCAAGACUGGCGAUCUUGAGACCUUGCACACAUUUGCAGGAAUCCAAGGAUGCUCAAUGAUGGAGCUUGACAUACAUGGAUUACUUGGGGAUGGGGUUUGGAAAUAGAAUCAGACUUGGGGAUGGAUUGAAUGUGGGCUAGGAGGGAGAUGGAACUGUUGAGAAUGACUUCCAGGUUUCUGGAAUGUGAAGCCAUUUUUCUCUGUACUUUUGAAACGAGUAUAACUUACUUGUUGAGUUUAAAAAGUUAAAGAAACUUGAAUUUGGAGAUGAGGAAGGCUUUGGUAACUAAACAAAAAUACAGUUACAGAGGGAGAUAGAAAGUGAAGAAAAGGUGAUGUUAUAGAUCUGCAAGUUCUUAGAGAAGCUGUAAGGUAGAAGGCUAAUGUAAGGCUGUGGGACAGAGGGUGUCAGGUUUUGUUUUAUAGAUGGGGCAGAUGUGAGCAACUUCUUUUGGGAUGGAGAAACCAUAGAGAGAAGAGAAUUAUCUGCGUUUCUUAACAGAUAAUUGAAUGUCUGUAUGCGAGGCAAUAUUCUAAGUCCUUGCAGUAUAAACCACAACACAUAGCCCCCUUUUCUGGGAGCCUAACUUGCAAAGUGGGAAGAUGACAAUAAAUAAAUAAUCUGCCAAAUGCAUUAUAAACAGAAAAAGAAAUAAAGCCUGUUAAUGGGGAGGUACAGGAGUGCUGAGGUGGGUGGACAGUGGGAUGUGAUUAUAUGCGGUGGGUGGCAUUUAUGGACUUGAUGCCACUAGAAUGUAAGAUACAACAGGGAAGGGAUUUUUGUUUUACUCACUGUUAUCUCCAGAAUUUAGAAUGGUGCCUGACACAUAGUGCUCAAUAAAUAAUUGUUGUGUAAAUCAAUUGAUUAUAUACUAUCAAGGAUGGGAUGAAAUGAGUUGUGGAAUACAGUUGUGAAUGAAGAUGUAGGGAUAUAAGUACCCAUAUUCCCAAUUCAAAUUAUAAUUAUCUUUGCUAUAAUUAUCUUUGGAUUCAGCUAUUCAGUUGUAUUUUGGAUCCUUUGGUUAUCUUUGUUUCAUGGCUUUAGUUUGGCUUGCUGUAUGUUUCUUAGGUAUAUUAAUAUAAUUUACAAACCUUACUUAUCCUUAGGCACAUUACUGAAAUGAGAAGUGACUGUUCUCAGUAAUUUAAAAAUAAAAUUUGCACUAUUAUAUUGGUUUAUAUAUUGAAGAUGUUUAAUAACCUUUCUUGCUUUCAGCAUUAUGCUGCUUUAAAGCGGUGUGUGUAUGUAUUGUGGUUGUUUUAUGCCAACUAAAGAAACCAGUUUAGCUGGGUUUAAACUGCAGUGGUUGUAUGUUAAACCAAGUCACACUCUCCUUGCUGUUCCUGUUUUGAUCAGUCAGUUUGGCUGAUCCCAUAGCGAGUCUUUUCAUCGAGUUUGCAAAGUUCAGCCUUAUGACAGUGUUCUAGUUUGUUUGAAAUCCUAUAGCAGGCCAGUCCUCUCUGCUUUAGGCAUGCAUGAAGAAGACUGUCUUCUGUGUGCCAAGUCUCAGCUCUGUGUUGGGGAUUCCAGUGCCAUACAUGACUUUGUUCUAGCUCAGGAAGCGCUGGCUUCUGGCAGCAGGGCUUGCCUUUGUCAAAAAGAAUUGACACAGGUGUUUUAAGACCAGUCAAAGCUGGAAGUUCCCUUAUGUUUCAAAGAUUUCACAUAUUAAUGAGGAAAAGGGAGCAUACAAAACAACUAUAUCCUUUUUGCCAUAGGUUGUCCUUUCUUAGAGAAAUCACUUUAUCUCUCUUGUAAAAGUGUAUAAAAUAUACUUAAUUAUAAAAGUAAUAAAUGGUCAUAGAAAAGAUUCUAACAACAUAGGAGUGUGGAGGUUAAAAAAUGGAAAAUUUUCUCUAAAAUCGUACAUUGUAGAAGAUAACAUUGUCAUCAAUUUGAUUUAUAUUUGUAUUAGUCAGUCUUUUUGUUACCAUACAGAAUACCCAAGUCUAGGAACUUUAUAAAGUGAAGAGGUGUAUUUAGCUCACAGUUUAGAAGGCUGAAAGUCUCAAGAUUGAAUGGCUCCAUUGGUUCAGCCUCUGGUGAGGGACUAAUGGCUGAUGGCUGGAGUGCAUAUGAGUGGGAGAGAUCACAUUGCCUAAUAGGAAGGCAAGGUGUGUGGACUGGACCCAGGCCCUUAGAAUAGCCCCCUUGUGACAACCAACCAGGGUCUCAUGAGAAGUACCUUAACCCCUUCUGAGGGCAUGCCCCAGUUGAUCUAAGAAGCUUCUACUGGGCCCUACCCUGUUGAAGGUUCCACAUCCCCUUCCAGUACCUCCAUCCCUGGGACUAAAGCCUCUUACACGUAUAGACUUUUGGGGCCACACUCAAACAUAUCCUUAUCCGUAUGGUAAUAUCCUUAUUUGGAUUUUAAAGAUGCAUAUGUACAUCAUGUAUGUGUGAGUAAUAUAUAUCUGCAUGUAAGUAUGUGUGAAUGCAAGUACACACACAUAGAAGAGGAAUCAUAUACACGACUUAACUGUUUUCUUCUCCUAACAAUUUAUUAUGGGCAUUUUACAUUUCAGUGAGUGUGUUUGUGUGUGUGUGUGUCUGUGUGUACGCUUGUGUGUGUGCAUGAUUGCAUAACACAGUGUUCCAUAAAGAAUUAAGUCAUCCCAUAUUUUGUUUUUAUAAGUAGUGAUGCACUUAACCUUCUGUUAACUGUUUUCGUGAGGGGGGGUGUGGGGGGCUAAUUGGGAUUGGACCUAGGGGCACUGUACCACUGAUCUACACCUCCAGCCUUUUUAAAUUUUAUUUUCAGGUAGCGUUUUACUAAGUUACUGAGUCUGUCCUUGAACUUUCCAUCCUCCUGCCUCAGUCUCCUCUGAGUAGCUGGGAUUAGAGGUGUGCACCACCUUGCCCAGCAUGUUCACAUAUUUUUGCACACUUCACUGUUAUUUUCUCAGAAGACAGAAGGGCUUGUCAAAGUGUAAACAUUUGCCAUGUAACCUUGUGAAAAGAUACCAACUUGUAUUCUCAGUUACCAAAUACGAGCGUCCCAUUUCCCCAGACCCUCACCAACACCAGGUGUUACUACCACUCUUAAAUCUUUCUCAGUCUAACAGGUGAAAACUUAUGUCUCUUUUUGAUUUGCAUUUCUUUGUAUAUUUCUGUGAUCUAGCAUGUUCUGACCAUUUGUAUUACUUUGUAUCUUUAUUCUUUUUAGUUAUAGACAGUAGAAUAUAUUUUGACAUGGAGUAUAACUUCCCAUUCUUGUGGUUGUACAUGAUGUAGAGUUACAGUGGUCAGAUAUUCAUAUUUGUGUUAAUUUUUUUGAUAUCUUUUUUGAACUGUCUUUAGUCCUUUGUUCUUUUUUUUCUUGGUAGAUUCUUUUCCCUUUUUCUGAUUUCCGAAUGUUUUUUUAAAAAAAAUAUAUGUAUAAUUUUUCUCCUGUUAGUCAUCUGUAUUUGUCUUAAUUUAUUAUUAUUUUUUAACUUGAUAUAUCCUCAUGCCAGUUCGGUGACUCAUGCACUCAACUUUGAAUCUUCUAGCAUUGGUAGCAAACUUAGGAAAGUCUUCCCCAUACCACUAACUAGAUGUUCUGUUUGCUUAUUUGUUUAGAAUUUUAUCCUCAAGAUGUUUAACAGCUAAAUAAUUUUUCAGAUAUAUGGGCAGGGUGAAGUAGAGCUCUGGGUUUUCUCCAGAACACACACUUAUUGUUGAAUUGUUGAUGUUUUAUUGCUGACUUAAAAUGCCAUCUUUAGGGCUGGGGUUGUAUGGCUUAGUGGUAGAGUAGUUGCUUAGCAUGUGUGAAAAUCUGGGUUCGAUUCUCUGCUCUGCAUAUAAAUAAAUGAAUAAAAUUUUAAAAAUUAUAGCAUCUAAAAAUAUUUUUUAAAAAAUUCCACCUUUAUCAUGCUCAGUUUUUACAGUUACAUGGUUCUUGAUAGCAGGACUCUGCUCAGCAAUCCAUUUGUUCUGUGCCUCUAUCAGUAGUACAUAUUUUUCCUUUCCUUACAUAUUAAUUUACUUAUUCCCACAUAUUGUAAAGAGAACAUUACUGCUUCUCUUCCCAUCUUAAAUAUCUUCUCAGAAAACAGGAGUGUGACUUUACAGUACACAUUCAUUUGUGUGAAUUGUCUCUGUACUAAUUUCAAUAAGUUGAGGUCAUACAAUCUUUCAGAAGUUGUGGGUUGAAGGGCUGGGGUUGUGGCUGAGCCUAGAGCGCUCACCUUGCAGGUGCGAGGCCCUGGGUUCAGUCCUCAACACCACAUUAAAUAAAUAACUAAAUAAAAUAAAGGUAUUAAAAAAUUAAAAAAAGUUGUGGGUUGAUAAAAAUGUAAAUAGAGCAACUGUCUUUGCUGUGGAAGAUGGAAUUUAAAUAAUCCUUACCUGUAUUUCUCUAGCCAUCACUUCCUAGCCUUUCUCAUAUCUUAGAAUACAUCAAGAAUAAAUAUAUUUUCAGGGCCACUGGGUAGAUGGAGGAGUGCUCUGGGUGUGGUCUGGAUGGCCUGUCCCCUCACAGGGGACCAGGGAUCAACACCUGCAACCCAUUCUUUAUGUGCUGCAGGUGAUUAGGAAGUAUUCAGGAAGUGCUGCUCUAGGCUGAUGUACUCCCACUUCAAAAUUUUUGUAGGUCUUGACAGUUUGAUAAUGAUUUAAUAUUUGGAGAGCCAGAUUUCUCUAAAAAUGUUUUUAUUGGGGGUUGGGGUUAUAGCUCAGUGGUAGAGCACUUGCCUCGCACAUGUGAGGCACUAGGUUCAAUAUUCAGCACCACAUAAAAACAAACAAACAAAGAUAUUGUGUCCAUUUAAACAUUUAAUAAAUGUUUUUAUUGUGGUGAGGUAUAUGCAAUAGAAAAUUGACGCUCUCAGUGAUUUUUUACUUGUACAGUUUAACAGUGUUUUUAAACACAUUUACAUUAUUUUGUGACCAUCACCACUGUUCAGCUGAGAAUGUUAUCUUCCCAAGCUACAGCUUUGUCCUUAUCAAACGCUAAUUCCCCACACCACUCUCUUAGCAAUUACUGUCUACUGUCCAUGUACAAAUCUGACUACUCCAGGGUCCUCAGAACGUGGAGUCACACAGCAUUCAUUCAUUCAUUUGACUGGCCUCUUUUAUCAUGGUGUCUUUAAGGUUCAUCCAUGUUGUAGCAUGUGACAGAACUUCCUUUCUUUUAAAGGCUGAAUAAUAUUCCAUUAUGUAUAGACCAUUAUGUUUAUGCAUUCAUCCAAUAAUGAACACUUGAGUUGCUUCUACCUUUGGAUAUUUUUUUUUUUUAAAUAUUUAUUUAUUUAUUUUUGUUUUCGGCGGACACAACAUCUUUGUUUGUAUGUGGUGCUGAGGAUCGAACCCGGGCCGCACACAUGCCAGGCGAGCGCACUACCUCUUGAGCCACAUCCCCAGCCCACCUUUGGAUAUUUUGAAUAACGCUACUGUGAACAUGGUUGGGCAAAUAUGAGAGCCAGACUUUGUGCAGAGCCAGACUUUCCUCAGGGCUUGAUCCUAGACUUUUCUUUCUGUGACCAUUAAAUGUGGAUAUUUCUCAGGAAUUAGACCAAGGCCCUUCUCCUCUUCCCCCUUGGUUUUCUAAAAGUGAAGCAAAGAGAUUUUGUCAGUCUCAUCUUGUACAUGAACAAUAUGACCUUAUUUUUUUUUUUAAAGAGGACAAAGCAACAAGACCAAUGAAUUACACUAUUUUUAAAGGGUUUAACCCCCCCCCCAGCUUUAUGAGAUAUAAUUGGCAAAUAAAAAUUAUGUACAUUCAAGGUUCACAGUGUAAUGGUUUGAUUUAUAUAUAUAUAUGUGUGUGUGUAUUGCAUAAUGAUGAACCAUUAACACAUGCUUCACCACUCAUGUGGCAUGUGUGGGAGGAGGCAAGACCCUUGAAACCUGCUGCUUAGCACAUUUCAAGUAAGUAGAGCAGCAUUAUUAACCAUAGUCACCAUGCUGUGUGUUGGGGCCCAGAACUUACUCAUCUUACAACUGAAAGUACAUCCCCUUUGACCAGCAUUUCCCAUUUCCUCCAGCCCCAUCCCCUGUCGACUCCCGUUCUGCUCUCUGUCUUAGGAGAGUACUUCAGCCUCCCAAGUGCUCAAGUCAUAUCCUGAGAAUCACUUUUAAAACAAACCUUCUAAUUUGGGGUACUUUUAGAGUCACUGCAAAGUUGCAAAAAUUUUGUGGACCCUAGUUGCUCUGUUAAAAUUGCUAUGGCUUGUUUGUCACCACCAGUGAACCAAUGUGGAUAUAUUAUUAUAAACUGAACUCCAGAGGAAAUUCAAAUUUCCUUUGUUUUUCCCUAAUGUCCUUUUCUUUUCCAGGAUCCCACCCAGGAUGCCAUAUUAUAUCUAGUUUUCAUAUGUUUUUAAGUUCCAUUAUACUGUCAGUUUCUCAGACUUUCCUUUUUAUUAUUGACCUUGACAGGAGAGGUAUUUUAUACGAUGUUCUUCAAUUUGGGUUUGUCUGCUCUUUCUGUCAUCAUUAGACUCGGAUUAUGGGUUUUUGGAAGGAAGACCACAUCACAUCAAGGGUUCCUGUUCUCAGUGUGACUUACUACUGGUGAUGUAAACUUUGGUCACUUGGCUGAGGUACUAUUUAUCAGGUUUCUUCACUGUAAAGUUACCAUUUUUCUCCCCAAAAGAGGUCAUUUUAGAAACUUUCCCUGUUUUAAUCUGUACUGAAUCUAAACCACUUUACACUGUAUCUUUUUCCCAAGUAAGUUUCCAUUCUGUUCACAUCACUCUGUUUAAGCGCCACUCCUGUCUAGGCAGCAGUGGCCUGUGCCCUGGCUGCUUCGAGAGUGCCCCUGGCCAUGUGUCUCCUCUACUCUGGCCUCCUCCCACUUUGGUCUGUACCCAGAAUGGUCUUUCAGAAAUGCUCUUUUCUCAAACUUGUGAAUAACUCCUAUUGUGCUUCAGAUGCCAUUCCUGCUCCUCAACAGUCAGGGCCUGUGUGACGUAGUCUGUCUCCUCUCUAGCUUCUGGCAAAGUACCUCUCACUUUGUUUACUGUCCCAGACGCUGGUUUCCCACCCUGAAUUACUUCAGCACUCUCUGCAACACAGUGUGGUCCUUCCUGCUUAGAUUGAUGGGCACCCACCACCUGUGUUCCUCUAGUCUCAGCCUGACUGCUACUUACUCUUUCUCCAUAAGCCAGCCCUAGGGUGGAGUUGCCGGCCUGCCUUGCUGUGUGUUUCUGUACUUCUUCCCUGUACCUGUCGUGUUUUGAAUCAACUUCCAUGCUAAGGUAGACCAGUGGAGACUUUCUCUGUUCUUUGCUGUGUAUCCAUCCCUGUUACCCGAUAACUGAGCUUGCUGUGGAGUAGGUGCUUAAUAAAUAUUUUUAAAUGGGUUAAUUUUGUCUUUUGAAUGGAAUACAAAUACUCUUUGAUAUUAGCAUGCAAGUAUGCAGACAAGUUCUCAAAUAGAUGUCUCUUAGUCAAUUGAUUUAAUACCCUGGGUGUUCUUUUAAAUGCCUUGUGCAGGGUGCAUCGAUAGGUACAGUAAGGAAUGGAGUGGUGUGUGUUCAGCCUGUGCUACUCUUAAGUAACCGUCUGUUUAUUCGGUCAUUCUCUACUUCAGCACUCACGAAUCAGACUCUAUAGUACCCUUUGCAGAUUGUGGGACCUGAGUGUGUGAGCCUUUGGGGCCUGGGGGAGAACCUGCAGGCCAACCCCUCACUGUUCCAUUAGUGGAAUAAGACCAAUCUGAACAGAUCCAGUUUGAAUUCAGCUCUGUCAGUUUUAAGACUUACAGUACAGUCUUGAGCUUGUCUGCAAAAAAAAAAAAGAGACAGGAAUAUCUUCCUUGUAACCUGUGGAAGGACUCAGAUAAGAAAAGGAAUGUUUGAUGAUCAGCAUCACAGAGCUAAUGUCCUUGCUUUUAGCUAAGCACCCUGCCAAACAGUCCAUAUUAAUACUUUUUGUUAAAUCUCACAGCAGCCCUAUAGAUAGGGAUGUUAUUAUUUUCAUGUUCUAAAUGAAGAAAAAGACUUAUUUGGAAAACCCAAUAAUUUGUCCAAGAUCAUGAAAGGAAUAAAAGGUAGAGCUAUUGCUGUGUAUGAUUUUUAAAGCCCAGAAUGGACUCCUUAUAUCCUCCAGCCAUGCCAUCUUUAAGUGUAGCUUUGCUAGUUGGGGUUUUGAAGACUUUUCAGUCUUCUAUUGGCAUUUGAAGUCUUUAAGUCUUAGGAGGGAGAACCUUGUUACAGCUUGAAUUUUAAUUCACAUUGUAGCAACUUUGAUAUCUGUAACUGGUUGCCUGACAUUGUAUGUUUGUGGGUCCUGGAGGACUGGGUUGGACCUACCUCGGCAGUAUUUCUAAAAUGAGGGUUGUGACUCCUGGUCAGAUUUACCUGGGGGGAUUUACAGAAAUGUAAUUUCCUUGGGUGCUUCUUUGAUGUCCUAAAUUGUAAUCUCCUCCUGGGAGGAUAUGGGAAACUACAAGUGACACUAUCUAGAUAGGCGAUUCUUAUUUAGUCUGAAGCAUGAGAAUCAGUGACUAGAAGAAAUGAGAAAUGUCAGAGGAUUCUUUCAUUGUCUCAAGUUACAGGAAGACAAGAAGCAGCUCAGGUGCAGUAGCUCCAUGGGUUUCCCUGUGCAUCUCUUGGCAUUCUCUGCAUGGGCAGCCACAGCAUAGUGAUGCGGUUCUAACUGUGCAGGGGGAAGGCACAUCCCUGGCAUGAGCUCCUGUCUGCUGUUCUUAUUCUUACACAACUUUAUUGAGGAGCAGUUGGCAUACAAUAAGUUACACAUUCUUUUUUUAAAAUGAAGUUUUUAUUUUUGAUUGACAGAGUAACUGCAGUGUGAUAGGGUAUAGUGUGAUGUUUCAGUUCACAUGUAUGAUGUGUAAUGAUCAGGUCGGGGUUUUUGACAUAUCCAUUAACUCAUUCACUCAUUCAUUCAUUCAUUCAUUCAUUCAUUCAUUCAUUGUGUUUUGUGUUGGGAAUAUCCCAAAUCCUCUUCAUUAGCUAUUUGGAAACGUACAGUUGUCAUAACCGUAGUUAUCCUAUGGUGUUAUAGAACAUUAUAGAAUACUAGAAGUUAUUCCUUUUAUCCACCUGCCUUCUGCACCUGUUAACCAGCCCUCCUCUUCAUAUCCUUCGAAGGCUCUAGUAAUCAGUAUUCUACAUCUGCUUUUUUAUGAUGUCAGCUUUUUAGCUUCUAUAAAAGUGAGAACAUGUUUUAUUUGUCUUUCUAUUAAACUGCACAUUCCUGCGUCUGCCUUAUAAGGUAGACACUGCAUGAGGUCCCCACACCAUGAUGGUGAGCACAUGCAUCAGUCAGAAGUGUCAAUCAGAAGAAAUGGAAGCAUUUCUGUCUUGCAGGCCCUUCUUCCCACUCUCUUUAUUCUUUGUGAAAUCUUUGAAACUGCUAUGGGGAAAAAGUUUCCUUGUUGAGGGUAAAAUGGUAGGUAGGAACGUAUUGUGGUUUCAGUUUUUGUUUUCUUUUUGAGGAAUAUAGUGGAAAUAAUAUGAUGAUUACAGGUGUAGGUUACCAUAUCAUUUAUAGAAAGUUUUGAGAAACCGACAAGUAUUCUAGACCAUUUCUGAAAAGUUUGACAGGAAAUGUACUUUUUGGAGGGUUGAGAAAGUGGCGGAGAUGUGACUGUUGGUGGCAGGGGAGAGGAGUGACUGGUGGGUGCCAUGUGGAUGGGGGUUGCACAUGAGAACCAAAGGCUGGUUUUCUUUGGGUUUUCAUUGUAUGGCAUUUAUUCUACAUGGGAAAAACUAACAUAAAUCACAACAUGAUAUGGAAUAGAAAUAUAAUCCUCACUUAACUGGAGAAUAUAUUUAGCUCAAGUGCAUUUUACAUUUUAUUGAAUGGCAUGAUUUAUUUAUGAUAUUUAUAGAUUAAAAAUAAAAUUUGCCCCAUCACUAUAACUGGCUUUGGGUUGGGUGUUUCUUUAGUUGCUGAAUACUCUUGCUGAAGUUAAGGUGUCUUUUUUUUUUGGGGGGGGGGGGUAAGUACCAGGGAUUGAACCCAGGCGCACUUAACUGAGCCAUAUCUCCAGCCCUUUGUAUAUUUUCUUUAGAGACAUGGUCAUGCUAAGUUGCUGAGGCUGGUUUUGAAUUUGAGCUCCUCCUGCCUCAGCCUCCCGAGCUGCUGGGAUUACAGGUGUGCAUUGCUGUGUCCAGUACCGAAGUUAGUUUCUACUGCAGAAAGCAUUAUAUAAUGUCAUUGAGUUAAUAGCUGUUUUUUUUUUUUUUUAAAGAAUUGGUAAAAUGUGUGGGAUUCAACUGUCACCUAGUUUCUUUUACUCUUUGAAUUUCUUUACUAUAUUUUUAUUUAUUUCCAGUUUUUCCAUGUAUUUAUUUUGAAGGAAUAUGCUUGAGGUAAAAAUGGGAGCAUUUCUGUCAUAAUUUAACCUUCUUAGGAAUAUCAUUUUUGCUCUGUGUCUGAGAGUUGAAACAAUUCUUCGUACUUUAUAGAUGACAUUCCCUCCUCACCUCUACGGCUAAAUCAGUCAGUCAGUCAAUCAAAACCAAAAUGUAAUGGAGAGUACACAUCUCAGUUCCAGGUGGCGCUCAUUGUGGGUGAGAAUUCCCUGGAGAAAGACCCUUUGCUGGAGCACUAGUGACUUGAUGUUCCAUCAGAAGGGGCUCGGUGUGUUUCUUCUUUUAGGCUGGUAGCUCAUGAGUGUGGUGGCACAGAGUCAUUUCCAGGUUUAGACUAGCAUGUAUACUGUGCUUACACCCAUAGGUUUUGGGGAUUAGGUUGGGGCUUUUGAGUCCUUUCUCUCUUUAAUUCAGUUACUAGUUACAGAAAGAGACUAGCUAUAAUUGUAACAAGUCUACCCAAGGUUGACUAUCCUUCUGUACCUCUCCUUAUGAAAAUAUCCUGCAGGUUGACUGUUUGGGGGUUUGCUUUGGAUUAAUGAUCACCUUUCAGUCUGUUAGUAUUAAUUCAGUUCAUUCAGUCAUUAACUGGCCGUGGCCAUAGGAAAUGGGACGCUGCUGGAUAGGGAAGAUGGGUCAUUCUAGUUCAUGAGCCACUGCUGUCUGGGGCCUGGGAAGGAGGCUGGAAGGAGGUUCCACAGAGAGAAUACCUUGAAUCCAAUUUAGGACCAGGGCUAACCUCUUGGGCUGUGUUGGGGGAAGCUACUUAGGUCCAGUCACCUUUAAGAAUUCAGAGCAGAACUGUCAAUUUAACAGUGUCCAGGGCUAAUAGGCAGGUGUCAACCAUAAUAGCUGCUUACUGCAUUGUUCCUGUGGGAAAAAUAUAUGUGAGUUUCCCAUACCUCCUUUGUAAGUGGACUGGCUCUGAGAAUUGGCUCUUCUUGCUAUUGUGGGGGAGGGCAGGAUGUGGCAGUUAGCUACUGGCUGGGGUUGUGUUGCCCCUGAGAGUUUCCAGCCGCUUUUUGCUUGCUUACUUGUAUUGUAGGGUCCUUGUGAGGACCACGGUGAACUGCUUACUGCCCUUACCUUCCCUUACCCAAUCACAAACUCAUUUGGAAAACAUUCCUAAGAUCCUUCAUUGAUGUUUUGUUUUUAAAUCAGCUAAAACAUUUUUAAUUUUGGCACAAUUUCCUUCAAAGGUAGUUUGUCAGAACUGCUAAAUAUUUAGGUGGAAAGAUGGACUCAGUUCCAUGGAAUCAUUUGUGGGAAUUCUGUUGGUUGUAAUAUUCAGGUGCCGAGGAACAAUUCCUGACUACCUGGAGGUGGGGGCAUCCUCUGGCAGUUGGUGUCUGGCACUUCUGGCAGGGAUUAACUGGUAGAAAGUUUAGGGCACCAUUUUUUUUUUUUGGGUGAGUUAGUGAAUUCUAAUCAUAACUUAGAACACUUUUUAAAGUCAUCCAUAAAUACUUCAUUGUCUUUAUUGUCAAGAGAUUAUUUUAAAAAUACAGAUUUUGGAAAUGAAUAUUGCCCAUGGAGCUCUUUGUUCUGACUAGGCUUGUUGCUUUUCCUUACUAAUAGAUAUUAGGAAAACAAAACUUGACUGGCUUCUUGCCUUUUGUUAGAAACAUGCUGAAAUGGUCUAAAUAAUGAUGCUACUAAAACAAUGUAUGCAUUGUUUUGAUGGGUAUUGAUUCCUUCUGUAGUGUUCAGAAUUGCUUGCAUGCCUCCCAGCAACAAAUGCAUAUGUGACUGUGUGAGAGGAGCAUUCCAGAAAAAUGGAAUGCUGCUUUACUUUUCAGUAGCUGUGCAACUUAAAGGGAAAAAGUCAUGUUUUUAGAAAUGCGGCCUUAAGGCACUAACCCACUUAUAUCCAGUGCAUGAAGCUCUGCAAGUUAUUUUAACACAACCUGAUCAGAGGGAACAAAAAUCUGGCAUUUAUAGUUUGUUUGUUUAUUGAUUGCCAUAAGUCAUUAGAAAGAAUAUCCUGUUCCUUUUAAUAAAAUCCUCUUGGACAGUUAAGUGUUAUAUUGUGGGGCAGAGCUGACCUGGGAGAAUGUAGGUAGAAAUGGCAAAUGGGGAUUUAUGAAAGAAUUGUAACCAAGUUAAGGUCCUUUUGCUAGUUGUGCUUCACCUGCUCUCCUGUGUGGCAGGAUGUAAUGUGUGUUGCUUCUUAGAACUUGCUGUCCAGUACACAGAAGUUUGGAUUCUGAAAUCAGGGAAUGUAGCCUCUCAAGCUUAGUUUUCAGAGAUGAAAUGCUGAAGAUGAUCUUAGUAGUAGGCUCAACUGUUCGUGUUAUUUACUAGUGAAAUGAAUAUUGAAAUUGUUUACUGUAACAGUUAAUUGUUACACUGUUAACAGUUAACUUACUGUUGCUGAAAGUUAAGCAAAUGUGUUGUGACUUAGGUGUUAGCUACAUUUUCAAAACAAAAUUUAGCUCUUUUCUUUUUAAAAACAUAAAUUAGUUUGUUAAUGGGGAAAGAGUAACAUUUGUUGAAAAAUUAAGUCACUUGCUUUUUUCCCUUUGUAGAUCUUCGUGUCAAGCCUGUAUUAACUCCUUGUAAUUCCAGUAGGACUAGCAAGUUAUUUUGCUUAAAAUGUCUUUUUUCCCCCCUGUGCAGUGAAAGUCGAAUGUGAGAACAGAUCUUAAUAGAUAUAGUUACACAGUUUAUUUUAUCAUGUAUCACUUUAUUGCUAUCUUCUAGAACAUUGUUAUACUAAAUGUUCCAAUAAUGGAAAUUUUAUGCAGCUACUUCAAAUGAAAGAAAUUUGCAAAAACUCAAUUUUGGAACUCAUUCCUUGAGGAGAGGGAAAAAACUCACCAUGCUGUGACCAAAUUAGAUUUCUGAUAUGUUGGCAACUUAUCAAACACUGUCAUUUCCAGAAAACAGGGUGUGGGUUCCCACUGAAAUAUCACUAUUUCCCAAUCAAUGUCAAUUUGAGAUAUUUUGAGUUUUAAUAUGAUUGAAUGGCCAAAUGUUUACAAAGUUGUUGUUGGUAACAGGUAAUUAAAAAUUGGUUUUGUACCUAAAUGAAAAUGGCUUUAUGUGGAAUCAGGAAUGACCAUGUUCAAUUACCAGGGAGUCGUCUUUUCAAGAGCUUGAUUUAAAAUUCUCAGAGAUAUUAGUUGUACUUACUGGAGCUCCUUUGUUUUGCAGAGAUCAUGAUGCAGCCGUCCUUUUGGAUUUCUUUUUAAUAAUGUGUGACCCUUCACCUUUGAUCCCCUGACCUGCAUUACCUUGGUAACCAUUUCAUUUUUUAAUUUAAUUUCAUUUUUAAUUUUGGUGUACAAGCUGUAACAUUUCAUCUCUCAAAGUGUAGCACGCUGAUUUCCUCAGAUAGAGAUACCCCUUUGAGCGAUAAAUUUGCAAAAUGCUGUCUUCAUUUUUUGUAUUAAAAUUCAUUUCAGUUUUAUAAAAUAAAAUGUAAUCUGUGUUUUCAUCCUUUUAAAAUUUAAGUUUAGUGAGUGCAUUCCCCCAUACAGGAUAGUUCCUCUUCUACCAGUGUUUUGCGGAAGCUGAAUUAAGUGACAUUCAUAUGUAAUGCACACCCCCCUUACCCCCACUCCACUGCCACUCCCUGUCAUUCCCCUGCUGUCACCACACAGCCCUGCCAUUGCAGGAUGAUGACUUGUCUUCCCUUCAGAAUAGUAGCAACUUGAAUUUUAGUCUUAGCAGCCAGGUUCUGCACCCUCAGGUUAUAUUUUGUAUUCUCAAAUAUUGUGGGGAGGGAAAGCUUAGAGUUUUAUUUUUAAUUUCAUUUAAGGGCUGGAAGAAUGUAAGCUAUUUUCAUUACCAGUGUUUGCCUUUCCCACCUCCUUUAAUGUUUUAUUUCUUUGAGACCUAAAUUAAGGAAAAGUCACAGUUUUAAUUUGACCAAAAAAUGUGGUUUUGUCUAUGCUGAAAUUUUAUCAGUGAGCUCUGCUGGUCCCUAUAUCAGAUUGAUUUUUGCCAUUUGUUCUUAUUUCAUGUUUGCUUUUCAAAUAAUGUAUUUUUAUUGUACUCUUCUUCUUUUCAGAAAAUUCUUAAAAGCAAAACAAACCAAAACCAAAAGUCAAACUUGAGUUAAUUCUUUGAACUGGCAAAAUACUCCAAGAAAUUGUAUUCUUAAAAAAAAAAAAAAAGCUGCGGACUCUCUUGCAUGGCCCAGUGAAGCACAGAUGAUUUUUUAAGUGUCUCAUUAUUUUAUUCUCUAACAUUUAAUGCUGAUGUUUUAAUUGCACACAGCUGAAGCUGCUAAAUGAGUACUGAAAUAGAUUUAAGUCCUCUCUGAGCUUUGUUGAUACCUAUAAAAGUUUAUAUCAUUCAUUAGAACCACAAAUUAAAAUUAGUUGUGGUGAGCUGUUCAUUGGAGAUUGGAACUCUCACGAACAUUUUAGCUCACAGACUUUGUUUUUGCCUGUUACACCUAUUUACCUGGAAAGCUGCUUUCGCCCUGUUGGGUAUCCUUUCUUUUCACAGAAUUGGAAAAAUAUCAGAGUUGAGGAAUACAAAUAGACAACUCAUCCUAUGAUUGUAAAGCCCCCAUGAUUAUAAGUGUUCCAGUGGUUGAGAGCAGCUUCCUUGCUGAACCUUGAAUUUUAAGGUGAUUUUUUUAUUAUAAUGUGUUCCACUGUUGUGCAGAGAAAUUUUCCAGAUCCAGAAACUUUUUUUUUUUGGCCUUAGGUACGUUGUUUAUUUGUUCUUUUGUUUAUUUGUUCUUCUAGCACCAAAGGGAUGGUGCCUGAAUCACAGUUCAUAGACUCACAGGGCUUUAGGGGACAGUGACUGCUUGUCAGCUCCACUCCUCUUCCUGAGGGAUGAGCUGGCCCAUGGUUCCCUGGGGAGUCACAAGUUCUCUGAUGACAGAGUCAGCUCUCUCUGUGGGCCCCCAUCUACUUGAGAGAGCCAGAUAACUUUAUUUAUAGCCUGUAGUAGGAGAUGAAGAGACAUUAAUAGGUGCAGAAAUAAUUUCUAUUGUCAUGUUUUAUUUUGUGAUUAAAUCAGUUAAAAAUUUUAAGGUUUUCUGAUUAAUACAUUUUAAGAGAACCUAAUUUUUCUAAGAGAGCUAGUACACAAAUACACUUAUUAUUUUCAAUGAACAUUAGUUAUAUGGUUAGUAUUUAGGACUUCUGGUAAGUUGUGAGGCACAUGAAUACUGUUUUUGUAAUCAUGAUUCACUGAGAAAACCCUUGUCUGAGAGUCAGAAAACUUGCUUUGGACUAGCAUCAAGGUCUUUGGACAUGUUACUGGUGUCUUUUGAGGUAGUUACCCCCAAACUAAAAUAUUCGAAGACAAAGAACUUGACACUUUAAUUUGGGAAUGAAUACUGUGAAAUCAGUUGUCUUGAUUGACCACAUAGGAGCUUGUAAAACAUUUCGUUGAUGCUGCUUCCAUUUUAUGUGUAUGUGAAAUGUAGACUGUGUGUCUCCUACUUGCCUUUUAGGGUUGUUGGGAGGAUAAAUGAAACACACACUGGGAACUCAGAAGAAAGGUGCUUUUGAAACUGAACCUCAUCCUAUGGCUGUGCCAAGAGGCAGUGGUAGUGAACCCCGUGGUGAAGGGCCAGGACCAUGGCUCUGGAGCCAGGCUGCCGUGGUUUGAAUCCCACCUUGGCCUCUUGCAAGCGGUCUGACUGCAGCACAUUACCUAACCUCCCUGUGCCUGAGUUUCCUCCUCUUUAACUUGAGGAUGAUAAUAGUAGCACCUACUCAAAGGAUCCUGGUGAGUUUUAGCUGAGCUGAUGUGUGCGGAAUCCUUAGAGCUGCGCUGGCG
rnacentral:lncRNA from 1 species